rnacentral:misc_RNA from 1 species
GAUGAAGAACGUAGCGAAAUGCGAUAAGUAAUGUGAAUUGCAGAAUUCAGUGAAUCAUCGAAUCUUUGAACGCACAUUGCGCCCCUUGGUAUUCCGGGGGGCAUGUCUCUUCCAGCGUCAUUUCACCCCUCAAGCUCUGCUUGGUUUUGGGCCGCGCCGGCAACGGCGGGCCUCGAAAAUAGUGGCGACGCCAUCGUGCUCUCAGCGUAGUAAUUCUUCUCGCUGUUGGGUCCCGGUGGUCGUCCGCCAGCAACCCCCAACUUUCUUAAGUUUGACCUGGGAUGAGGUAGGGAUACCCGCUGAACUUAAGCAUAUCAAUAAGCGGAGGA